rnacentral:rRNA from 1 species
CGCUGGCGGCGUGCCUAAUACAUGCAAGUCGAGCGGAAUGAUUGAAGAAGCUUGCUUCUUCUGAUUUUAGCGCGGACGGGUGAGUAACACGUGGGCAACCUACCUUGUAGAUUGGGAUAACUCCGGGAAACCGGGGCUAAUACCGAAUAAUCCAUUUUGCUUCAUGGCGAGAUGUUGAAAGACGGUUUCGGCUGCCACUACAAGAUGGGCCCGCGGCGCAUUAGCUAGUUGGUAGGGUAAUGGCCUACCAAGGCGACGAUGCGUAGCCGACCUGAGAGGGUGAUCGGCCACACUGGGACUGAGACACGGCCCAGACUCCUACGGGAGGCAGCAGUAGGGAAUCUUCCACAAUGGACGAAAGUCUGAUGGAGCAACGCCGCGUGAGUGAAGAAGGUUUUCGGAUCGUAAAACUCUGUUGUAAGGGAAGAACACGUACGAGAGCAACUGCUCGUACCUUGACGGUACCUUAUUAGAAAGCCACGGCUAACUACGUG